rnacentral:lncRNA from 1 species
GCAGCUCCUAACCCUAGCUCCUCGUUCCCACAGACGCAUCCCAUACUCCAUCACCCAAACCAUGCGAUCUUCGUCAACGGCUCCGGCGAUCGCCCCCUCCCCACCACCACCCACCGCCAUGGUCUACGACCGCCUCGCUGAAGCCGUCAAAUCCAAGCUCAAACAGCUUGAGAAUCCGGACCCUCGAUUCCUCAAACAUGGGUCACCACACCCAACCCUAAGUGACCAUACCAAGAUCCUCUCCGCACCCGAAACCCGUGUCACGACUCUGCCCAACGGUCUCCGAGUCGCCACCGAGUCCAACCUCGCUGCUCGCACUGCCACCGUUGGAGUCUGGAUCGACGCUGGAUCGAGGUUCGAGACCGACGAGACCAACGGCACCGCUCAUUUCCUGGAGCACAUGAUCUUUAAGGGCACAGCCCAGAGGACGGCACG